UGCCUCAGUAACGGCGAGUGAAGCGGCAACAGCUCAAAUUUGAAAUCUGGCCCUAGGCCCGAGUUGUAAUUUGCAGAGGAUGCUUUUGGUGCGGUGCCUUCCAAGUUCCCUAGAACGGGACGCCAGAGAGGGUGAGAGCCCCGUACAGUUGGACACCAAGCCUUUGUAAAGCUCCUUCGACGAGUCGAGUAGUUUGGGAAUGCUGCUCAAAAUGGGAGGUAUAUUUCUUCUAAAGCUAAAUACCGGCCAGAGACCGAUAGCGCACAAGUAGAGUGAUCGAAAGAUGAAAAGCACUUUGAAAAGAGGGUUAAACAGCACGUGAAAUUGUUAAAAGGGAAGCGCUUGUGACCAGACUUGCGUCCGGUGAAUCACCCAGCUCUCGCGGCUGGGGCACUUCGCCGGCUCAGGCCAGCAUCAGCUCGCUGUCGGGGACAAAAGCUUCAGGAACGUAGCUCUCUUCGGGGAGUGUUAUAGCCUGUUGCAUAAUACCCUUCGGCGGGCUGAGGUACGCGCUCCGCAAGGAUGCUGGCAUAAUGGUCAUCAGCGACCCGUCUUGAAACACGGACCAAGGAGUCAACCUUAUGUGCGAGUGUUCGGGUGUCAAACCCCUACGCGUAAUGAAAGUGAACGCAGGUGAGAGCUUCGGCGCAUCAUCGACCGAUCCUGAUGUUCUCGGAUGGAUUUGAGUAAGAGCAUAUAGGGUUGGACCCGAAAGAAGGUGAACUAUGCGUGUAUAGGGUGAAGCCAGAGGAAACUCUGGUGGAGGCUCGCAGCGGUUCUGACGUGCAAAUCGAUCGUCAAAUAUGCGCAUG
rnacentral:rRNA from 1 species